rnacentral:rRNA from 1 species
UACGUAGGGUGCGAGCGUUGUCCGGAAUUAUUGGGCGUAAAGGGUGCGUAGGCGGCUUCCUAAGUUUGAUGUGAAAUCCUGGGGCUCAACCCUGGAACUGCAUUGAAUACUGGGAGGCUAGAGUACUGGAGAGGAAACUGGAAUUUACGGUGUAGCAGUGAAAUGCGUAGAGAUCGUAAGGAAGACCAGUGGCGAAGGCGAGUUUCUGGACAGUUACUGACGCUGAGGCACGAAGGUCAGGGGAGCAAACGGG